rnacentral:rRNA from 1 species
GACGAACGCUGGCGGCGUGCUUAACACAUGCAAGUCGAACGGAAAGGCCCUGCUUGCAGGGUACUCGAGUGGCGAACGGGUGAGUAACACGUGGGUGAUCUGCCCUGCACUUCGGGAUAAGCCUGGGAAACUGGGUCUAAUACCGGAUAGGAGCCAUUUUCAGUGUGAUGGUUGGAAAGUUUUUUCGGUGUAGGAUGAGCUCGCGGCCUAUCAGCUUGUUGGUGGGGUAAUGGCCUACCAAGGCGGCGACGGGUAGCCGGCCUGAGAGGGUGGACGGCCACAUUGGGACUGAGAUACGGCCCAGACUCCUACGGGAGGCAGCAGUGGGGAAUAUUGCACAAGGGGCGCAAGCCUGAUGCAGCGACGCCGCGUGGGGGAUGACGGCCUUCGGGUUGUAAACUCCUUUCGCUAGGGACGAAGCUUUUUGUGACGGUACCUAGAUAAGAAGCACCGGCUAACUACGUG